UGGGGUGUAGCUCAGUGGUAGAGUACUUGCCUGGCAUGUGUGAAGCAGUGGAUUCGAUCAUCAGCACUGCAU
rnacentral:tRNA from 1 species